AUCCCUGGGCCUGGGCCUACCUAGGUGAAGACAGGCAUUUUUGUUUUCCUGCCCGGAUGUUGCAUUUCCCAAGACCACCCUGGCCUGCCAUGCCCUCAUCCUGUGCCUUUAAAAACCCCCGAGACCCUGGCAGGCAGACGCACAAGCAGCUGGACAUUGAGAGGAGCAUAUAGGCAGAGAAUACAGGGGCUGCUGGAUGUCGAAAGGAACGCACCAGCAUAGGAGCACACCGGCAUGCUGGCAGGCCAUUGACCAGCGGAAGAAUGCAGAGUUUGUCGCGGGAGGUCAGAGAAGAGUCAGGCCGCCAUACCUGACUCCAGGAGAAAACCGUCUCCCUUCUGGUUCCCCCGUCUGCCGAGAGCUACUUCCACUCAAUAAAACUUUCCACUCAUUCUUCAAGCCCACGUGUGAUCCAAUUCUUCCCGUACACCAAGGUCUCGCUGUGUUUCCCAGGCUGGGUGCAGUGGCUAUUCAAAGGUACAAUGAUAGCUCACUGCAGCCUGGAACUCCUGGACUCAAGCGAUCCUCCUGCCUCAGCUGCGACUAACAGGUCAAAACAGUCACAAGCCUGCUCAAAUUCGGAAAGAGGGGACGGAAAUGGAACCUCUUCAUGGGAGGAAGAAACAGGGUCUUGCUCUGUUGCCCUGGCUGGAGUGCAAUGGUAUGAUCAUAGCUCACAGUAGCCUUGAACUCCUGGGCCCAAGCCAUCCUCCUACCUCAGCAACCAGAGUAGCUGGGAUUACAGGCGAAUGCCACCACACCUGGGUAAUUUCUUUUUCUUUUUCUUCUUGUUUUUAUUAGAGAUAGGAUCAUGCUAUGUUGCCCAAGCUGGUCUUGAACUUCUGGCCUCCAGCAGUCCUCCUGCCUGAGCCUCCCAAGUAGCUGGGAUUACAGGCAUGAGCCACCAGUCCUGGCAGAUUUGUUAAUUUCUUUGAAUUAUUAUAUAUUUUUAAGUUUACUUCCAUGUAUUUGACUUUUUGUGUGCUUAUAACUGG
rnacentral:lncRNA from 1 species